GCUGCUGAUCAUCGGCCUGGCCCAUGCCCUGGUGGUGUUCCGGGUGGUGUCCACGGUGAUGUUGGCCGAAGGAUCAUGGGAGUUCCUGAGUGACCACUCCAACACGGCCCGCUGUGAUACUAGGAGCAGUGCUACACUACUUCACCAUCACCAUCAUGACACGGGUCAACAGGAUUGUGUCGCUGAAACUCUGUGAAAUAGAGGAGAAUCAGUCGUUUGCUGCCUCUGAGAGAAGCUUCACCGUCAAGAUGUUCACCUUCCAGUUCUUCACCCUCUUCUCCUCUCUCUUCUACGUUGCCUUCUUCCUGGGCAGG